GCUGGCGUAGCUCAGCCGGCAGAGCAACGGUUUUGUAAACCGUAGGUCGUGGGUUCGAUCCCCACCGCCAGCUCCA
rnacentral:tRNA from 1 species